rnacentral:rRNA from 1 species
CCUACGGUGAGCAGCAGUGAGGAAUAUUGGUCAAUGGGCGCGAGCCUGAACCAGCCAAGUAGCGUGAAGGAUGACUGCCCUACGGGUUGUAAACUUCUUUUAUAAAGGAAUAAAGUGAGGCACGUGUGCCUUUUUGUAUGUACUUUAUGAAUAAGGAUAGGCUAACUCCGUGCCAGCAGCCGCGGUAAUACGGAGGAUCCGAGAGUUAUCCGGCUUUAUUGGGUUUAAAGGGAGCGUCGAUGGGUUGUUAAGUUAGUUGUGAAAGUUUGCGGCUCAAACGUAAAAUUGCAAUUGAUACUGGCAGUCUUGAGUACAGUAGAGGUAGGCGGAAUUCGUGGUGUAGCGGUGAAAUGCUUAGAUAUCACGAAGAACUCCGAGUGCGAAGGCAGCUUACUAAACUGCCACUGACAUUGAUGCUCGAAAGGGUGGGUAUCAAACAGGAUUAGAUACCCCAGUAGUC